rnacentral:lncRNA from 1 species
GAUAAAUUCACUGGAUUAAUAUUAUAUUUGGGUUUGACACAGAUUAUCGUAAAUUAGAGAUAAAAUGCACAUUGAGUACAAAUUGACUUCAGAAGGAUCUCUUUCCAAGCCGAGCCGUCUAUCUUCCAUGAAGCAUCCCUGAUCUAGCAUCCCGUACGUCCAUUUGAAUGAGUUCAUCACAACAUUCCAGAGUCUUCCCACGUGCAGUCCAUACACCCGUAUAUCCUACUUUCCAUGGAUCAGCAAUUCAGCAUCCACAUCCUUCCAUAUCAGCCUAUCUCCCCCAACUGCAAUCUCCAGCUUCAUCCGUGCAAAAACAGGGGAGAAGGAAUGAUCCCACGCGUCCGCCACAGCGAUCCCGAGCGAUUCCAUUCCAUCAUCCUGUGGCUAAAGAAGGAAGUCCACAUCCCCAGCUCCUUCCGUCCGUGAUCAAUCCCAGCCUGCAUCACGCGUCCGUCUUCCUCUUCCGCGCCCAGCAGCCCACGUUCUUCACGCGGUGAACGUCUUCUUCCUCCCGUCGAUCACGCUCCCAGCUCCUCCACGGAAUCCCAGCGGCCAGCCCCUCUUCCCAGCCGGCCGUGAUCAGCAUGCCAGCCCAGCUGCAAGGCAUCUUCAAAUUUUCCGCAAUGAUCCCAGCAAUCACCCGUGAAUAACCCCCUCCACGGAUCACGUCAUUCUCCCAGCUUGUUCUGCGAUCCGCCCAGCCGAUUCAAGGAUCCGCUCCUUCCAGCCGUCCGCACCUCUUCCGAAGCAGAUCCAGCCUCCUCCCAGCAAAGAUCCCGCAUCAUCCUCUUCCGCAUCACGCCAAGGAUCACGCGGCCAGUCGGGAUGCCUCUCCCAUCCGCGCUCAUCAUUCGGAUCCACCUCCCGAGAUCCUGCUCCCGUUUCUCCUCCUCUCCAUGCUGUGGCGAUCUAUAAAUAGGGGAGAAUGAGAGGAGGGAUGGGCGCUCGGCGGGGUGGUCGGCUGGUUCAAGAGGGAGGAAAGGGAGGCCAUUGGUUUGGGAGAGAAGAGAGAAAGGAAAAAAAAACAGAGCAUAGCUCUGUUCUUGAGAAGAAGAAAGAAAGAAAAAAAAUAUUAUUUUAUGUUGAAGUUCCACCGUGGGAGAGGGAAAAGAGAAGUAAUUUGUUUUUGUUUUCUUUUCUUUAUUUUAUUUGCAAAAUAGAAGGAGUAUUAGGCCUCUAAUCUCCAUUUUUAUUUGUAAUCAAUUUUUCUUUUUAUGAAAUCCAUCAAUUUUCUUUCGUGCAAUCCCUGUUCUAGAUUCAAGUUAAUUUCUUUUUAUGCAAUCCUUUAAUUUUU